UGUUUGAUGUUCUAACGUGGACCCGUGAUCCGGGUUGCGGACAGUGUCUGGUGGGUAGUUUGACUGGGGCGGUCUCCUCCUAAAGAGUAACGGAGGAGCACGAAGGUUGGCUAAUCCUGGUCGGACAUCAGGAGGUUAGUGCAAUGGCAUAAGCCAGCUUGACUGCGAGCGUGACGGCGCGAGCAGGUGCGAAAGCAGGUCAUAGUGAUCCGGUGGUUCUGAAUGGAAGGGCCAUCGCUCAACGGAUAAAAGGUACUCCGGGGAUAACAGGCUGAUACCGCCCAAGAGUUCAUAUCGACGGCGGUGUUUGGCACCUCGAUGUCGGCUCAUCACAUCCUGGGGCUGAAGUAGGUCCCAAGGGUAUGGCUGUUCGCCAUUUAAAGUGGUACGCGAGCUGGGUUUAGAACGUCGUGAGACAGUUCGGUCCCUAUCUGCCGUGGGCGCUGGAGAACUGAGGGGGGCUGCUCCUAGUA
rnacentral:rRNA from 1 species